AGUACAAAUGAAAACAAUAAUAAUAUGGUAAUCGCAGCAAUC
rnacentral:sRNA from 1 species